GCUAAGGAAAACAAGAAUCCUUAUUUUAACACCUUCAUACAUACACAUUCAUCCUACGAACUCCUUCAAAGGACCGAGAUAGUACAUCAUCUUAAGACUGACGAAAUCAUUACAUAUGCCUUCGUAGGCGAUCGAAACGUCCUUUCCCACUCAACGCAUAUCAUCGAAAGACCUGAAAUAAAUUAAAAAAAAAUGCAAACAUGAGUGUCAAGUUUUAGACUUGAAUUCUGAUGGGAUAAGGAUACCGUUGAACUCGUAACCAUGCAAUACAGAUUCAUUAUUAUUUUUAAUAGGGAAUAAAGUUUUUAACUUUUCUUUAUAGGGGAAUAAAGUUUUUAACUAGAGAUGCUCUUACGAGUUACGCGUGAGAAGCCGAUUUUCCCGGAAACCAGAAAGAAAGAGCAAACCGAGUGGACUCCUCGGUCGGCAAGUCUAUGACCAAAGCCCAACAAGGGCGACGACCACUGCUGUGACUCUUUCGUCUUUCUUCUCCCUUUCCCCACUCGACGCACCCAUAGCCGUCAAGUCUAGGGUUUAGCAGAGCCUGCAGCCGUCUCCCGGCACCACCCGAGCCGCCCAUGGACAUCGACUCCGAACUGUCCGCCGAGAGCAACAAGCCCACCCAGAUGGACCUCGAGGACCAGGCAAGCCGCCGUCUCCGCCGCCGCGGCCGAACUUAUUCUGGGGGAUUUUUCUUUCUUUUUGGGGGUUUUGAAUGUGAUUUUCCGUGCGCAGGCGGACGCGAAGGGGAAGGGGAAGGCCGAUGCAGCGGGAGAGGAGGAAGGGAAGGGGAAGGGGAAUGGCGACGAGCUUGCGGACUCCAUCGGGAGUUUAUCUAUCGGCCCGGGGCGGACCAUUUUCAAGAAAAAGCCGGUGAUCAUCCUUGUCAUCGGCAUGGCCGGUGCGUCGAUUUCGUUUGCCCUAUUCAAUUAUCAUUUUAGUAGAGGACGGAUGGACGACCGAACCUGUGAUAUGCUGAGCUUUUAUUGGGGGAUUUUGGGAUGGGAAGCUUACUGUUUCGGCCUACAAUGUAGGGACGGGGAAGACCACCUUCAUGCACCGUCUGGUGUGUCAUAUGCAGGCAUCAGCGAACAUGAGGGGUUAUGUGCUCAACCUUGACCCUGCGGUGAUGACACUGCCAUUCGGAGCCAACAUUGAUAUCCGCGAUACCGUGCGUUACAAGGAGGUGAUGAAAGAGUACGGACUUGGUCCCAAUGGUGGCAUUCUUACCUCACUCAACCUGUUCUCAACCAAGUUUGACGAGGUACGCAUCUUAUAUGCAUCUCAAAUGUUUGGAAUGGUAAUGUGCACUUUUUAUGUACUCUGUUAGAGUGUUAGGCUAUAAAACUUUCAAGGCAGUACAAACUUACAACCACCCAGUCAAACUGGAUUGUUUCAUUUUUGUGGAUAAUUGAUUCAUGUAAUUCUCCAUCAUUCAAUGUGAACUGUUGCAGAAAUUGUGCUUAAUUUAUGGCGUGAUGUAGAGGUUGUAGAAUAUUAUUUGAUUCUGCUCUGAAUAGUGACAACUUCUUUUUGCAAAAUUGUAUGCUACAUUUAUGGUAUGUGAGACAUCUUUUCCCCCUCUAUCCUGUGCCAUUCAGCUAAUAUAUGUCCAAUAUUCAUCCUUACAGGUUAUAUCUGUUAUUGAAAAGCGAGCAGACCAGCUGGAUUAUGUGCUGGUGGACACCCCAGGGCAGAUUGAAAUCUUUACUUGGUCGGCUUCAGGAGCUAUCAUAACUGAAGCUUUUGCAUCAACAUUUCCAACAGUUGUUGCAUAUGUGGUUGACACCCCCAGGUCGACAAACCCUGUGACCUUUAUGAGCAACAUGAUGUACGCGUGCAGUAUCCUCUACAAGACUCGUUUGCCUCUGGUGCUGACAUUUAAUAAGGUUGAUGUAGCCAAGCACGAGUUUGCUCUUGAGGUGAGUACACCCUUGUGACGAUUUCAGUUUCACUGUUCUUGAUUAUGUACACUGGUAUUGCAUUUAGCUUCUAUCAUGUAUUCACAUUGUGUUGUAUGCAGUGUGUAGGGUUCUCUUUUUGGUAUACUUUUGUCAAUAUGUAACAUUUGAGCUGCCAUGCUGAGCCAUAUGAAUUAGGUUUAUUAAAACAUUUAUAUUAAUCGACAAUACACAAACAUGGCUUUUGUCCAUGAUGUUUCUUCAAUUUUGCUCUUGGUUUACUUUUUUUUCUUCAAAUUUUGGUAACUUGGCCUUCAUUUAUUUGCUGGACCAGUGGAUGCAAGACUUUGAAGCAUUUCAGACAGCUUUGGAUUCUGACUCAUCGUACUCAUCUUCAUUUACCCGGAGUCUCUCUCUUGUGCUGGACGAAUUCUACAAUAACCUACGCUCUGUUGGAGUAUCAGCGGUAUCUGGCACUGGAGUUGAUGCAUUUUUUGAAGCUAUAGAAGCAAGCGCUAAUGAAUACAUGGAGACUUACAGGUCUGCCGCUUAUGAUAUAGUUCUACUAUUGCUGAAUGAAUUGUUGAUACUAAAGAACUAAAGAACUUAUUAGUUGCUAUUGUCUAACAAUUUUAUCAGGGCUGAUCUUGACAAGCGGAUUGCUGAAAAGGAGAGACUAGAAGCUGAGCGUAGGAAUGAGAACAUGGAAAGAUUGAGGAGAGAUAUGGAGAAGUCCAAAGGACAAACUGUGGUGCUCAGCACUGGUUUGAAGGACAAAACCCCUGCCCCAGAAAUGAUGGGGGACGCUGAUGAGGAGGAAGAAGAGGAGGCGUUGGAGGAUUUCAGGAUUUCCGAUGAUGAUGAUGAUGAAGAUGAAGGUGAAGACGAGGAAGUGACUCAUUUUGGCUUUUAAGGUAUUCUAGCGCUUAUCUGUUUAUAAUGUGCUCUGAAGGUGUUCUCGUUGGUUGAAUAUCUUACUGUCAGGAUUAAUGUGCUGGUGCCAUUGGGCAUUCAUUUUAACAUGCAUUAUUGAUUUUGGUAAUUAAUGUGACAUAACCAUGAUUUUUUUUUUGGGUGCGUGUAAAGGUACCUGCUGUUUUCUCAAGGGAUAUAGGAUAUUUAAUAUACAGAUUCACACUCCAUGUGUAGUUUAAUUUGUAAAGUUGAAAUCUGAAUGAGGGUGGUAUUGCACUGCUGUUAUACUAUUGAGAUGGUUUUAUUGCUGUUGAUAAGAUCAGUAGAUCACCAACUCAAGCUGUUAAUUUCCCUGUCAAUGUAAAGGUUUGUUGAUUCAAUUCUGAUCGUAUUAAGCUGUCUUGACAGGUUGAUUGCACUGAACAGGCAUUUACUUGAGGGUGGUGUGUUCAGGAGACCCGGUCCGGAAUUGUGUUUGUUUCCAGGUUAUUACAGUGGAAAUGAAAUGCUGUCGAUAUCACUAGGUGGAUGGCGGCCGUUAGUCUGUAAAUCAACUCGCACUUCGUCAAACUCGCUGCAAUCUCAGUGACUAGGUGGACUGAAUUGUAUUCCCUGAAUGCGAUGUAUGAAUUCUCUUCUUGAUUUGUUUCUGCAAACUUUUUUGAAGAAGGCUAGAGCGGUAAUUUAGUUACUUGAGCAGGCAAAGUCUCAACUUGCUGAGCGAAUGCAUUGGUUGGAUUCCAAGAAGUUUAGCAGUGCCCGUGUUUUUAUAUAUUUAAAAAGAGUUUAUUAGCUACAGCAACAAUGGUUGCAUCAUCCUCCAAAGUUUUUAUGAAAUUACCUAAGGGGGUCAUCAAGCCUACGAGACUACUAAAUCCUCCUUGGCCGGCCAAUGUUCAAAGACGAUCCUACAAUUCAAUCGUCGUUUUUUCGAGGUUGCAUGAAAAAAAGGGGCAAGCUGAGUAGAGCCUGGUUGAGGACAUACAUGCCAAAAUGUGACAUUUGCAUGUGAAUUGGUUACCGG
rnacentral:lncRNA from 1 species